GCCCGGAUAGCUCAGUCGGUAGAGCAGGGGAUUGAAAAUCCUCGUGUCGGUGGUUCGAUUCCGCCUCCGGGCACCA
rnacentral:tRNA from 1 species